rnacentral:rRNA from 1 species
GGGGUAGCAAUACUCUGAUGGCGACCGGCAAACGGGUGCGGAACACGUACGCAACCUUCCUUUAACUGGAGAAUAGCCCCUCGAAAGAGGGAUUAAUACUCCGUAACAUGAUGAUAAGGCAUCUUAUUAUUAUUAUAGCUCCGGCGGUUAAAGAUGGGCGUGCGCCUGAUUAGGUAGUUGGCGGGGUAACGGCCCACCAAGCCUGCGAUCAGUAACUGGUGUGAGAGCACGACCAGUCACACGGGCACUGAGACACGGGCCCGACUCCUACGGGAGGCAGCAGUAAGGAAUAUUGGUCAAUGGACGCAAGUCUGAACCAGCCAUGCCGCGUGGAGGAUUAAGGCCCUCUGGGUUGUAAACUCCUUUUAUCUGGGAAGAAAUCCAUAUAUUCUUAUGUGGUUGACGGUACCAGAGGAAUAAGCACCGGCUAACUCCGUGCCAGCAGCCGCGGUAAUACGGAGGGUGCAAGCGUUAUCCGGAUUCACUGGGUUUAAAGGGUGCGUAGGCGGGUAAGUAAGUCCGUGGUGAAAUCUCUGAGCUUAACUCAGAAACUGCCGUGGAUACUAUUUGCCUUGAAUAUUGUGGAGGUGAGCGGAAUAUGUCAUGUAGCGGUGAAAUGCUUAGAUAUGACAUAGAACACCAAUUGCGAAGGCAGCUCACUACACAAUCAUUGACGCUGAGGCACGAAAGCGUGGGGAUCAAACAGGAUUAGAUACCCUGGUAGUCCACGCCCUAAACGAUGAUUACUCGACAUCAGCGAUACACUGUUGGUGUCUGAGCGAAAGCAUUAAGUAAU